CCUGGUGGUCCAGUGGUUAGGAUUUCGCAGUUUCACUGCCGUGACGAAGGUUCAAUUCCCUUCCCAGG
rnacentral:tRNA from 1 species